AAAUCCAAACAGGCUCAGCUUGAAGAAAACAUUGGUUUCCAAUGCAGCUAUGAAUUAAGAAAAUAGAAAAGAAAUUUGAAUGCUUCUUCAGAAGAGAAAGCUUGGGAAAAAGAAAUACUGAGGAAGAGAAGGGCACUGCUGGGAAACCAUUUCAGGCUGAAGAAGCUCUGUAGAGGUCCCUUGCUUCUGGUCACAGGAUCAAG
rnacentral:lncRNA from 1 species